rnacentral:rRNA from 1 species
UGUAGAGUUUAUCAUGGCUCAGAUUGAACGCUGGCGGCAGGCUUAACACAUGCAAGUCGAGCGGGAAAGAUAGCUUGCUAUUGGACCUAGCGGCGGACGGGUGAGUAAUACUUAGGAAUCUGCCUAUUAGUGGGGGACAACGUUUCGAAAGGGACGCUAAUACCGCAUACGCCCUACGGGGGAAAGCAGGGGAUCAUUUGACCUUGCGCUAAUAGAUGAGCCUAAGUCGGAUUAGCUAGUUGGUGGGGUAAAGGCUUACCAAGGCGACGAUCUGUAGCGGGUCUGAGAGGAUGAUCCGCCACACUGGGACUGAGACACGGCCCAGACUCUUACGGGAGGCAGCAGUGGGGAAUAUUGGACAAUGGGGGGAACCCUGAUCCAGCCAUGCCGCGUGUGUGAAGAAGGCCUUAUGGUUGUAAAGCACUUUAAGCGAGGAGGAGGAUACUUUGGUUAAUACCUAAAGAUAGUGGACGUUACUCGCAGAAUAAGCACCGGUUAAUUCUGUGCCAGCAGCCGCGGUAAUACAGAGGGUGCGAGCGUUAAUCGGAUUUAUUGGGCGUAAAGCGUACGUAGGCGGCUUUUUAAUUCGGAUGUGAAAUCCCUGAGUUUAACUUAGGAAUUGCAUUGGAUACUGGGAAGUUAGAGUAUGGGAGAGGAUGGUGGAAUUCCAGGUGUAGCGGUGAAAUGGGUAGAGAUUUGGAGGAAUACCGAUGGGGAAGGCAGCCAUUUGGCUUAAUACUGACGCUGAGGUACGAAAGCAUGGGGAGCAAACAGGAUUAAUUACCCUGGUAGUCCAUGCCGUAAAGGAUGUUUAUUAGCCGUGGGGCCUUUGAGGCUUUAGUGGCGCAGCUAACGCGAUAAGUAGACCGCCUGGGAGACGGAGUCG